CAACUUGAUAGCCCAACGAAGAACGCGACAUCCUGUCGCAACGUUGGACAAUGAACAUCCUGUUCU
rnacentral:sRNA from 1 species